rnacentral:lncRNA from 1 species
AAAAUACGAAAAACUGAAACUCACCGACGGCGGGGCUCUCUGGUUCAGCGGCUCAUCCGGCUCAUGUUGUGGUUGGGUGUUUCGCUUCGGUCAACCUGUAGAGAAGAAAACAGUUAUCACAACGGUGAAAAAAUUACGCAAAAUGAGAAUCGGGAAGGGCCUCAUCAUAGGCGGUUUGUGAAAUUCCACGCGGCUCCGCCAGGCUUCGCCGGUGUUUUCCAGCCAAUUGGCCAGUCUUUUCACUCCAAUUUAGCCAUGGGUGAGCUUAAAAUUG